GAGGCAAUGCCUCGCCCUGCUUCGGCUCGCGCACGGUGCGCGCACCCACUGACCUGCGCCCACUGUCUGGCACUCCCUAGUGAGAUGAACCCGGUACCUCAGAUGGAAAUGCAGAAAUCACCCGUCUUCUGCGUCGCUCACGCUGGGAGCUGUAGACCGGAGCUGUUCCUAUUCGGCCAUCUUGGCUCCUCCUCGAAAUGGCAACGCAUAUGGCUAAUAAAACAUAUUGAGGAUGAAUGAGAAAACAACCUGGUUCCUGGAAGGAGAGAAACAAGGUGGAGUCUUCUCACAGAAACAAGGAGAAGGUCAGAGAGACCUCCGGGAGCAUCUCAUCUUGGAGACACCACAAGCUCAAGAGGCUGCAUUAGCGUUUUUUAUUGGAGGCAUUUUCUUUUCCUCCAGAUUUUGUUUUUGACUGUUAAGGUCAUAGCUACAAACAAUUGAUCAAGCCUAAAAGGGCAUUUAUAAACCACCUGCAUCUACAUUUUUUUCUUACUGUGGAUGGAUUUAAAAAGCCGUUUCAAGAUGAAAUCUUAUGAGUCAUUAUCAUGUCUUCUGAGGGCUGAGAU
rnacentral:lncRNA from 1 species